CAGUCGCCACGGUAAUACGUAGGUGGCAAGCGUUAUCCGGAAUUAUUGGGCGUAAAGCGCGCGUAGGCGGUUUUUUAAGUCUGAUGUGAAAGCCCACGGCUCAACCGUGGAGGGUCAUUGGAAACUGGAAAACUUGAGUGCAGAAGAGGAAAGUGGAAUUCCAUGUGUAGCGGUGAAAUGCGCAGAGAUAUGGAGGAACACCAGUGGCGAAGGCGACUUUCUGGUCUGUAACUGACGCUGAUGUGCGAAAGCGUGGGGAUCAAACAGGAUUAGAGACCCCCGUAGUCCCUGUCUCUUAUAC
rnacentral:rRNA from 1 species